UACGUAGGGUGCGAGCGUUUAAUCGGAAUUACUGGGCGUAAAGCGUGCGCAGGCGGUUGUGCAAGACCGAUGUGAAAUCCCCGGGCUUAACCUGGGAAUGGCAUUGGUGACUGCAAGGCUAGAAUCUGGCAGAGGGGGGUAGAAUUCCACGUGUAGCAGUGAAAUGCGUAGAUAUGUGGAGGAACACCGAUGGCGAAGGCAGCCCCCUGGGUCAAGAUUGACGCUCAUGCACGAAAGCGUGGGGAGCAACAGG
rnacentral:rRNA from 1 species